CCUAAGCCUGACUGCUUGAGAAGCUAAAGCUAUGAAUUGCUUAUUAUCACAAAAUUCUCCUACCUCACUGCUCUGCUGAGGCCCAUUUCAGUGCUUCUCAAGAAAGCAUGAAGCUCGGGGAUCCAGAGGAGGACGCAAUUUCAGUACGGCAAACCUAUCUAUCCAGAGUUGUGAAAUUUUGCAUCUCUUUGUCUGGACCCGUGGUGUCCUUAGAUAGGUAAUGUGAGCCAUCUUAAAAAUUGGUGGAAAGAAACAGCCCACAGAGCAGCAAGGCCGAGACUGACAAGUGGACCAACUCUGGAGGGCUCUGAACUCGCUGACAUCACUC